rnacentral:misc_RNA from 1 species
GCCUCAUAUAGGAACGCUUUAGGCUCUCUGAAAUUAGAUUCCUGUGGAGCAAGAUGGCUGCAAUCUUCCUAAAAAAAAUUAAGUUUUGGGAGAAAUGAGUGACAAAUGGUGGUUUAGUGAAGGCAUGGAAAAUAAGGUGAAUCGGCACAGCCUUCUUCCUCCGCCUAGUCGCUACAGUGACUGCUGUCAAGUUUGCCACAGGAGGA